rnacentral:rRNA from 1 species
UACGUAGGGGGCAAGCGUUGUCCGGAAUCAUUGGGCGUAAAGCGCGUGUAGGCGGUCCGGUAAGUCCGCUGUGAAAGUCGGGGGCUCAACCCUCGGAUGCCGGUGGAUACUGUCGGGCUUGAGUACGGAAGAGGCGAGUGGAAUUCCCAGUGUAGCGGUGAAAUGCGUAGAUAUUGGGAGGAACACCAGUGGCGAAGGCGGCUUACUGGACCGGUUCUGACGCUGAGGCGCGAAAGCGUGGGGAGCAAACGGG